AUUGAACGCUGGCGGCAGGCUUAACACAUGCAAGUCGAACGAGUGGCGGACGGGUGAGUAAUGCUUGGGAAUCUAGCUUAUGGAGGGGGAUAACUACGGGAAACUGUAGCUAAUACCGCGUACCAUAGGAUGAGCCCAAGUGGGAUUAGGUAGUGGGUGAGGUAAAGGCUCACCAAGCCGACGAUCUCUAGCUGGUCUGAGAGGAUGACCAGCCAAACUGGUACUGAGACACGGCCCAGACUCCUACGGGAGGCAGCAGGGGGGAAUAUUGCGCAAUGGGGGCAACCUGACGCAGCCAUGCCGCGUGAAUGAAGAAGGCCUGCGGGUUGUAAAGUACUUUCAGUCGGGAGGCGUUACCGACAGAAGAAGCACCGGCUAACUCCGUGCCAGCAGCCGCGGUAAAC
rnacentral:rRNA from 1 species